rnacentral:rRNA from 1 species
CACGUAGGGUGCGAGCGUUGUCCGGAAUUAUUGGGCGUAAAGAGCUCGUAGGCGGUGUGUCGCGUCGGCCGUGAAAACCUGCAGCUUAACUGUGGGCGUGCGGUCGAUACGGGCAUCACUGGAGUUCGGCAGGGGAGACUGGAAUUCCUGGUGUAGCGGUGAAAUGCGCAGAUAUCAGGAGGAACACCGGUGGCGAAGGCGGGUCUCUGGGCAACAACUGACGCUGAGGAGCGAAAGCGUGGGGAGCGAACAGG